AUCUUCCUAGUAUCAACUAGUACAUGUGACUUCCACUCACCAAGCCUUGGUUAAAUUCCAAGGGAAGAUA
rnacentral:tRNA from 1 species